rnacentral:rRNA from 1 species
AGCGAACGCUGGCGGCAGGCUUAACACAUGCAAGUCGAGCGGGCGUAGCAAUACGUCAGCGGCAGACGGGUGAGUAACGCGUGGGAACGUACCUUUUGGUUCGGAACAACACAGGGAAACUUGUGCUAAUACCGGAUAAGCCCUUACGGGGAAAGAUUUAUCGCCGAAAGAUCGGCCCGCGUCUGAUUAGCUAGUUGGUGAGGUAACGGCUCACCAAGGCGACGAUCAGUAGCUGGUCUGAGAGGAUGAUCAGCCACAUUGGGACUGAGACACGGCCCAAACUCCUACGGGAGGCAGCAGUGGGGAAUAUUGGACAAUGGGGGCAACCCUGAUCCAGUCAUGCCGCGUGAGUGAUGAAGGCCCUAGGGUUGUAAAGCUCGUUUGUGCGGGAAGAUAAUGACGGUACCGAAAGAAUAAGCCCCGGCUAACUUCGUG